AGUGAACGCUGGCGGUAUGCCUAACACAUGCAAGUCGAACGGCAGCACAGUAAGAGCUUGCUCUUACGGGUGGCGAGUGGCGGACGGGUGAGGAAUACAUCGGAAUCUACUUUUUCGUGGGGGAUAACGUAGGGAAACUUACGCUAAUACCGCAUACGACCUACGGGUGAAAGCAGGGGAUCUUCGGACCUUGCGCGAUUGAAUGAGCCGAUGUCGGAUUAGCUAGUUGGCUGGGUAAAGUCCCACCAAGGCGACGAUCCGUAGCUGGUCUGAGAGGAUGAUCAGCCACACUGGAACUGAGACACGGUCCAGACUCCUACGGGAGGCAGCAGUGGGGAAUAUUGGACAAUGGGCGCAAGCCUGAUCCAGCCAUACCGCGUGGGUGAAGAAGGCCUUCGGGUUGUAAAGCCCUUUUGUUGGGAAAGAAAAGCAGCAGGUUAAUACCCCGCUGUUCUGACGGUACCCAAAGAAUAAGCACCGGCUAACUUCGUG
rnacentral:rRNA from 1 species